rnacentral:rRNA from 1 species
AGAUUGAACGCUGGCGGCAGGCCUAACACAUGCAAGUCGAGCGGUAGAGAGGUGCUUGCACCUCUUGAGAGCGGCGGACGGGUGAGUAAUGCCUAGGAAUCUGCCUAGUGGUGGGGGAUAACGUUCGGAAACGGACGCUAAUACCGCAUACGUCCUACGGGAGAAAGCGGGGGACCUUCGGGCCUCGCGCUAUCAGAUGAGCCUAGGUCGGAUUAGCUAGUUGGUGAGGUAAAGGCUCACCAAGGCGACGAUCCUUAGCUGGUCUGAGAGGAUGAUCAGCCACACUGGGACUGAGACACGGCCCAGACUCCUACGGGAGCAGCAGUAGGGAAUAUUGGACAAGU